AGAGAGAGACAUGCGCGCAUAUCAAUAAGCGGAGGAAAAGAAACUAACAAGGAUUCCCUAGUAACGGCGAGUGAAGCGGGAAGAGCUCAAAUUUGAAAUCUUCAAGGUUCUACCUUGACGAAUUGUAGUUUAAAGAAGUGUUUUCUGUUGAAGUUUUGGUAAAAGUUCUUUGGAAUAGGACAUCAUAGAGGGUGAGAAUCCCGUAUUUGACCAUUAUUUUCAGCUUUGUGAUACACUUUCAAAGAGUCGGAUUGUUUGGGAAUGCAGUCCAAAAUGGGUGGUAAAUUUCAUCUAAAGCUAAAUAUUGGCGAGAGACCGAUAGCGAACAAGUACCGUGAGGGAAAGAUGAAAAGAACUUUGAAAAGAGAGUUAAACAGUACGUGAAAUUGUCAAAAGGGAAGCGUUUGACACCAGUGUUGUUUUCUCGAAAAUCAAUUAAAAAUGGCUCGAUUUUGUAUUGCUUGAGACCUUAAAAGCUCACUGUACAUUUUUCGUGUCUUUUUUAAUGCACUUUUCGUUUAACAAGUCAACAUCAGUUUCUUUUGUUGUAAAAGGGUCAUUGGAAGGUGGCUUCUUUUCGGAGAAAGUGUUUAUAGCCUUUGGCCUCUGCAAUCGAAGAGACUGAGGUCUGCAGCGUAGACUCUUCGGGGUUAGAUACAUUUGUGCUAAGUUAUAGCUUUUUAUAGACAACUUGUUGACUAUAAUUAGUCUUGUAGCUUACUCGCUUAUGCUAUUUUACCUACGCUUAGGAUGUUGAAGAUGUAGCACAUCAU
rnacentral:rRNA from 1 species